UUUCAUAUUCUCUGUCCUCACCUUUUAGUUGAGUUUGAAUAUCUAAGUGUAGCUUGUCGAUGGGGGCCCAUUUAGACUUCAGAGUAGACAGUUGAUCUUCUAAAACCCAUUUUUCACAAGAGGUCUCUAGAUUGAUUUUGGCCAUCGCGCGAUCCAAAGCUUGAAAUUGGCAAUGUUGUUUGGUGAGCAGGUCCUGGAUGCUGGUAUCCAUCUCAUCCGUUAUUAUGUCGGAUAAAUCAAAGUUCACAGUUCGGUUUACUUCCUCAAUGCGCUGGAGUUGCUUCAUCAUGUCAGAUCUUAUUGUUUCAACAAGUAGUUUAGUUUUGUUAAACACGUCAUCGGAGUAAUAGUUGAUAGUUUUGUCAGGAAACUCCUUUUCGAUGAUGACGUGGCGCUCGGCGAAGUUAUUCCAGUAGUCUUCUAGAAUCGGCAACCGUUUCUUUAGGUAUGCGUGAUUUUUCACAGAUGGCUUGUCUUUUUUAUAGUUAGAGCAGAAAGUUUUAAUUUUUUCGAAGCAUUCCUCUUGAAGCUUCAAAUUGGAGAUAGUUGAUUGAGACAUGGCGAUGUUGAAGUUGUAGUUAGAUAGUAGGUAGUUACCUUAGUUAGUUGAAGUUUUCAAGUUCAAAGUUGUUAUGACCCGAAGCUGUAGUUUACAGUCUUCUUACUUCUAAUUUUUCACAGCAACGGCAGCCGCAGUUACGAAUCCGUUGUAGUUCUCAGAAGUGGUCAGUUGAAGGUCCUCAGCGCAGUCUCCGCCCCGGCAAUAUGUGCGACUUCUCAAUCUGACUGGGGAGGUCCGCUUGUGGAAGGCCAGCCAAACCGAUCCGCUAUCACCAGAGAGGAUAAACGCUAAGAUACCUGAUAAGUUAUGCAGGACCACUUUUCUUCUCCACGGGUGUUUUCACUCACGAAGAAUUAAUCGCCGGUCACUGGUUUCAGUUUCACUUUCGAAGGACCAAAAAUAAUGUACAGUUUGUACACUAUUGAGAAGUUAAGUUGCUUGAUAGUUUGAAGUUAUAGUUGAGUUGAGUUGGCUUGAGAGUAGAAAGAUCGAGAUUCACAGAUAUGGCCGUUUAUUCACGUAAACACAAGUUAUGUUAUAGGUGGCGACUGCUCUCUAUGGUAGCUGUUCGUACUCUAAUUAUAAUAAUAUAAAAUUAUGGCUAAGUGUGUGUGUCGCAAGUCGCGGCAACGUAGGUUGCUAAGUCAGCAACA